rnacentral:sRNA from 1 species
AGUAUCUUCCCUUGUGGACUACACCAAUGUCGAAAUGUUCUUGCUAAAAAUGAUGCAGGGAGAAAGACAAAGUUAUAAAGUUGGCAUCCACAAUUUUUCCAUCUUGCCUCGCUCCCCAAUUUAAAUGAAGGAAAAAAAAUUGGUGAGGUCUCCAGCCCUGUCUGAAGCAGGCAUCCAUUAUCCUGCUCAGGUCAGUUGCUGCAAUGGGAAGCAUGACCUCAUGUUUUGUCAGAUGCACCAAAUUUUCAAGAGAAAAGCCAGAGAGCUGAAUAUUUGUGUGAAAUUUCCUAAUUUUUAAAAGUUGGCAAUUAUAUCAAAUUAGGAUUAUACUCCACUAAACAUAACAUAAAAUCGAAAAGAACAUGCAGCGUAAAUGAGAGAGAAAUGUUUUCCUUCAUUAGAGGCAGUUCAGUGGCUCCACAGAGAUCAGGGAUCCAGGUUCCUUCCAGCUUUCUGCUCUAUCAUUCCUAGGGGGUGACCUUUAUCUUCAUGGCCCAGUGUGGCUGCAAGAGCUCUAGCAUCCAAGUUCCCAGCAGAAGGAUGGAGGACUGGCUGGAAAAACAAGGACACACAGGGUAUGCAUCAGAGUCCCCUCUUGUUGCCCAGGCUGGAGUGCAGCAGCAUGAUUACAGCUCACAUCAGCCUCGACCUCCCGGGCUCAAGCUAUCCUCCUACCUCAGCCUCCCAAGUAGCUGGGACUAUAGACUUGAAGAAGCUGAGUGAGAAGGCCAUGCGGAUAUCUUGGAGAAGUGCAUUCCAGGAAGAGGAAAAGCCAGUGCAGAGACACUGAAGCAGGGCAUGACUGAUGUGUGUAAGGAGCUCAUAUAUAUGAUCAUCUACAGUCCACUGAGGAGAAUAGCAGACGAGAGGCCAGGUGCAGUGCAUGUAAUCCCAGCACUUUGGGAGACUGAGAUGGGAAGAUCGCUUGAGGCCAGGAGUGCAAGACCAGCCUGGGCAACAUAGCAAGAACUUGACUC